rnacentral:rRNA from 1 species
AGAGUUUGAUCCUGGCUCAGAUUAAACGCUGGCGGCAUGCCUUACACAUGCAAGUCGAACGGCAGCACGGGGGCAACCCUGGUGGCGAGUGGCGGACGGGUGAGUAAUACAUCGGAACGUGCCCUGAAGUGGGGGAUAACGCAGCGAAAGCUACGCUAAUACCGCAUAUUCUGUGAGCAGGAAAGCAGGGGAUCGCAAGACCUUGCGCUUUAGGAGCGGCCGAUGUCGGAUUAGCUAGUUGGUGGGGUAAUGGCCUACCAAGGCGACGAUCCGUAGCGGGUCUGAGAGGAUGAUCCGCCACACUGGGACUGAGACACGGCCCAGACUCCUACGGGAGGCAGCAGUGGGGAAUUUUUGGACAAUGGGCGGAAGCCUGAUCCAGCCAUGCCGCGUGAGUGAAGAAGGCCUUCGGGUUGUAAAGCUCUUUCGGCGGGGAAGAAAUUGCUUGGGUUAAUACCCUGAGUAGAUGACGGUACCCGAAUAAGAAGCACCGGCUAACUACGUGCCAGCAGCCGCGGUAAUACGUAGGGUGCGAGCGUUAAUCGGAAUUACUGGGCGUAAAGCGUGCGCAGGCGGUUUUGUAAGUCAGAUGUGAAAUCCCCGGGCUCAACCUGGGAACUGCAUUUGAGACUGCAAGACUGGAGUUUGGCAGAGGGGGGUGGAAUUCCACGUGUAGCAGUGAAAUGCGUAGAGAUGUGGAGGAACACCGAUGGCGAAGGCAGCCCCCUGGGCCAAUACUGACGCUCAUGCACGAAAGCGUGGGGAGCAAACAGGAUUAGAUGCCCUGGUAGUCCACGCCCUAAACGAUGUCAACUAGGUGUUGGGAGGGUUAAACCUUUUAGUGCCGUAGCUAACGCGUGAAGUUGACCGCCUGGGGAGUACGGCCGCAAGGCUAAAACUCAAAGGAAUUGACGGGGACCCGCACAAGCGGUGGAUGAUGUGGAUUAAUUCGAUGCAACGCGAAAAACCUUACCUACCCUUGACAUGUCAGGAAUCCUGGAGAGAUUUGGGAGUGCUCGCAAGAGAACCUGAACACAGGUGCUGCAUGGCUGUCGUCAGCUCGUGUCGUGAGAUGUUGGGUUAAGUCCCGCAACGAGCGCAACCCUUGUCAUUAAUUGCCAUCAUUUUUUGGGCACUUUAAUGAGACUGCCGGUGACAAACCGGAGGAAGGUGGGGAUGACGUCAAGUCCUCAUGGCCCUUAUGGGUAGGGCUUCACACGUCAUACAAUGGUCGGUCCAGAGGGUUGCCAACCCGCGAGGGGGAGCCAAUCUCAGAAAGCCGAUCGUAGUCCGGAUCGCAGUCUGCAACUCGACUGCGUGAAGUCGGAAUCGCUAGUAAUCGCGGAUCAGCAUGCCGCGGUGAAUACGUUCCCGGGUCUUGUACACACCGCCCGUCACACCAUGGGAGCGGGUUCUGCCAGAAGUAGUUAGCCUAACCGCAAGGAGGGCGAUUACCACGGCAGG